CACUUUUACAAGAUUUAGCAAAUACAGAAAAUACUUCAAUUUUAUUUGCCAAGAACAAAUUCAAUGUAAGCUUUUGAAAACUUAGUGAUGGAAACAACAUCUUUAGAUUUAGAAAUUGAUUCUUGUUUGUUUUCUUAGUUAACAUGCAUAGCAAACUUUGACCUUGCAGAAGAUAAUCUAAGUAAACCAAUGACAAGAUCUUUUGAAAUUAGGUCCAUACUAGCAUAAGUUAAUUUUAUAUGCC
rnacentral:lncRNA from 1 species